CCAAACUGUUUGCAAAGGCCUUCAAAAUUCGGUUCCCGCACUGAAAGGGUUAAGUCCAUAACCACGCUUAUUGUGCUACUUGUUAAGAUGUGAUCUUAUAUUUGUACAUAUUGAUUUUAAACAAGAUUGUUUAUGUGGGAUUGAACAUUGCAAUAAAUACUAAGUUUGUUA